rnacentral:rRNA from 1 species
AGGGGGCAUACUUAACAUGCAGUCGAACGGCAGCACGGGUGCUUGCACCUGGUGGCGAGUGGCGAACGGGUGAGUAAUACAUCGGAACAUGUCCUGUAGUGGGGGAUAGCCCGGCGAAAGCCGGAUUAAUACCGCAUACGAUCUACGGAUGAAAGCGGGGGACCUUCGGGCCUCGCGCUAUAGGGUUGGCCGAUGGCUGAUUAGCUAGUUGGUGGGGUAAAGGCCUACCAAGGCGACGAUCAGUAGCUGGUCUGAGAGGACGACCAGCCACACUGGGACUGAGACACGGCCCAGACUCCUACGGGAGGCAGCAGUGGGGAAUUUUGGACAAUGGGCGAAAGCCUGAUCCAGCAAUGCCGCGUGUGUGAAGAAGGCCUUCGGGUUGUAAAGCACUUUUGUCCGGAAAGAAAUCCUUGGCUCUAAUACAGUCGGGGGAUGACGGUACCGGAAGAAUAAGCACCGGCUAACUACGUGCCAGCAGCCGCGGUAAUACGUAGGGUGCGAGCGUUAAUCGGAAUUACUGGGCGUAAAGCGUGCGCAGGCGGUUUGCUAAGACCGAUGUGAAAUCCCCGGGCUCAACCUGGGAACUGCAUUGGUGACUGGCAGGCUAGAGUAUGGCAGAGGGGGGUAGAAUUCCACGUGUAGCAGUGAAAUGCGUAGAGAUGUGGAGGAAUACCGAUGGCGAAGGCAGCCCCCUGGGCCAAUACUGACGCUCAUGCACGAAAGCGUGGGGAGCAAACAGGAUUAGAUACCCUGGUAGUCCACGCCCUAAACGAUGUCAACUAGUUGUUGGGGAUUCAUUUCCUUAGUAACGUAGCUAACGCGUGAAGUUGACCGCCUGGGGAGUACGGUCGCAAGAUUAAAACUCAAAGGAAUUGACGGGGACCCGCACAAGCGGUGGAUGAUGUGGAUUAAUUCGAUGCAACGCGAAAAACCUUACCUACCCUUGACAUGGUCGGAAUCCCGCUGAGAGGUGGGAGUUCUUGAAAGAGAACCGUCGCACAGGUGCAUUAUGGCCAAGUCAUCUUUUGUGGUGAGAUGUUGGGUUAAGUCCCGCACCGUGUUCAACCCUUGUCCUUAGUUGGUUCGCAAGAGCACUCUAAGGAGAAAAUUCCCCACAAACCGGAGGAAGGUGGGUAUGACGUCAAGUCCUCAUGCCCCUUAUGGGUUGGUCUUCACACGUCAUACAAUGGUCGUAACAGAGGGUUGCCAACCCGCCAGGGGGAGGUAAUUCCAGAAUACCGAUCGUAGUCCGGAUUGCACUCUGCAAUUCGAGUGCAUGAAGCUGGAAUCGUUAGUAAUCGUGGAUCAGCAUGCCGCGGGGAAUACGUUCCCGCGUGACAACACACCGCCAGUCACACCAUGGGAGUGGGUUUUACCAGAAGUCAAUAGUCUAACCGCAAGGAGGACGUCAAUAGUAGAGCCUUAAGCCG